rnacentral:tRNA from 1 species
AGAGGUUUAGCUCAGUGAUAGAGCAUGUACUUAGCAUGUAAAAGGUCCUGGGUUCAGUCCCCAGUGCCUCUC